rnacentral:lncRNA from 1 species
GGUAGCUGUUUCUCCAGCCCCGCUCCAUCUCCCCUCUUAUCUAGGAGCUGUUUUUAAGCACGACUUUUUUAACAGUUUAUAUUGUACAGGAUCAAUAUUUUGCUUUUUAACAAGGAUAUUUAUGUAAUAAGAAACUUUUGCCUUAGGCAGGUGUUGGCCAGAAAAGUCCAGAUUCCUCUGGGACCCCACCCUGGCCUCUCCUGGAGCUCUGAACCUGCUGUGGAAGGAACUGGCUGUGACCUCACCACUGGAAAGUAGGGUCUGUGGUGAGGUAAAGGGGUGUACUGGUUCUGACAGGAGGAGGAUCCACCAUGGUAAUCAAGUGCCUCUGUGGAGGGGUUGGAAAAGAAAUGUUCUAGUUCAGUUUCUUCAGAUGUUCGCCUGCUUCCUUAGUGGAUUCUCCCCAUAAUGCACCUCUCCAACUCUCACCAUUUGGCACUGGAACUCCUGAAACACCACUUCUCAUACACCCCACUCCCUCUCUCCCAGUGGUCAAGGCUUUGGAGCCACUCUUUCGUAAUACCAGAUUAUUUAAAGAGAGAAAAAUACAAGACAAAACCUUCUAGCACUUUGUAAACACAGUGAAUAACCUCUUGGAAUAUUUUUGGCUUUAUAUAAAACAAGGUUUUUAAUUGUAAAAUAUAAGUGCCAUUAGAAAAUGCACAGGGCCUAUCUUUGUUAAAGUAGAUUUUUCAAUGUUUUACAGAAUGACAUUUUCAAAAAAAAGUUUUUAUAAUGAAGUUGUUUAUUAAAAACUUCUGAAUGAUGUGUUUGG